GGUUAGGUGGACGUUUGUUGGACGUUUGGUGGACGUUAGGUGGAUGUUAGGUGAAGGUUUGUUGGAUGUUAGGUGAAGGUUUGGUGGAUGUUAGGUGAAGGUUCGGUGGACGUUUGGUGGAUGUUAGGUGAAGGUUCGGUGGACGUUUGGUGGAUGUUAGGUGAAGGUUUGGUGGAUGUUAGGUGAAGGUUCGGUGGACGUUAGGUGGAUGUUAGGUGAAGGUUCGGUGGACGUUUGGUGGAUGUUAGGUGAAGGUUCGGUGGACGUUUGGUGGAUGUUAGGUGAAGGUUUGGUGGAUGUUAGGUGAAGGUUUGGUGGAUGUUAGGUGAAGGUUCGGUGGACGUUUGGUGGAUGUUAGGUGAAGGUUCGGUGGACGUUAGGUGGAUGUUAGGGUGCCGAGGGCUUUCUGAGAGGCUGGUUGCGGUGCUGUGGGACAGAUGUGUGUUGGGUAUAACCGUGUGCGGAGCGGAGUGGGCCGGUUCUGAGCGGGUUGGAGAGAUUUUUGGCUGCAUUGUGAGGAUUGGAGUUGGAUUGUCACCCCUGCUCCCCUCAUUAGCUCCGCUGGCUGUAAUAGUGGUUAUUGACUGGAUGGGGCUUUAAGCACCUGUAAGAUUAAUGGAAGCCUCCCAGCUGCACGGCACGAGUGCCGGCCCGGCGCCGCCGCCGACGAGCCUCUUCUGCAUGUGCUUCACCUGCCACUCGUCCGUAGUGGCUGUUCCAAAACUCUGUUUUCCCGCUGACCUGCAGUAUUUACGCCUGCUCCCCGAUUGCUGGCUGUUAAAAGUAGCGGUUCAAGAGCGAAAGGUCCUGUUGGAGCGCGAAUGCAUGCGCGAGUGUGUGUGCGAAUGCCUGCGAAUUGUGAGAGUAUUAAUGCUAAUGGCUUUGUCUUAAUGCAGCCUUUAAACCUGCGUUUAGCUCCUGGCACACGUCUACAUCAAAUACAGCUGCUGCAGUUACGACACGUCACGCUCCACUUUAGUUUCAUACUAAAUAUUUGUUGAUUUGCUGAAAUGUUUCUCUUUUUUUUCCGUUUUUUAUUUUAUACUAAAUCAGUGUCUUGGUAAGUUUUUGUUUAAGAAGUAGACAAACGUUUAUCAAUUUUGUUUAGAUUCUAUUGAAUGUAUGAAACUUUGUAUACUAAAUCAAACUCAUUUAAAUAAAAAUAUUAAUUUUGUUGGCCAAAUUCAGUUUUUUCAUAUUUCCAACAAUAUUGUUGUGACAAAAACAAACUGUAAUAUUGUGUUAUUAUUUUAGGACCACGCGUUAAUGAGGCGUGUUGAUUAAAGGGUAGUUUAAUUCAUUUGUUAGUUGGUUUGUUUGUUUGAUUAAGGUUAGUUUGUUUAUUAGUUUGUUA